AGUGAAAUAUGCAAUCAGCGGGUUUACGAGCAAGGCACAAAGGUACCUAGAAGGUACAAGUUGUGUUGUGGAUCUGAAUCUAACCUAACCUCACUCAUAGGUUGAAUGAUAGAUUCUUCUAUCAUUUAACUAAAACUGGUCUGUUCGCCCUACUUCCAGUAAAAACAAGGAAGGGUGUUCUCGUAAACCCUUUAUUUUGGCGAACGAUGUUCUCCUAUGUAAUAACAGAGACUCUCUGUAUAUAAAUUGUUCU
rnacentral:telomerase_RNA from 1 species